GAUGAACGCUAGCGAUAGGCUUAACACAUGCAAGUCGAGGGGCAGCAUGGUCUUAGCUUGCUAAGACUGAUGGCGACCGGCGCACGGGUGCGUAACGCGUAUGCAACUUGCCUCACAGAGGGGGAUAACCCGUCGAAAGACGGACUAAUACCGCGUACACUCUAUUUUGGGCAUCCAAGGUAGAGGAAAUGAAAUUCGCUGUGAGAUAGGCAUGCGUCCCAUUAGCUAGUUGGUGAGGUAACGGCUCACCAAGGCGACGAUGGGGAGGGGAACUGAGAGGUGGAACCCCCACACUGGUACUGAGACACGGACCAGACUCCUACGGGAGGCAGCAGUGAGGAAUAUUGGUCAAUGGGCGAGGGCCUGAACCAGCCAAGUCGCGUGAAGGAUGACUGUCUUAUGGAUUGUAAACUUCUUUUGUAGGGGAAUAAAGAGGGGCACGUGUGCCCCAGUGAAUGUACCCUACGAAUAAGCAUCGGCUAACUCCGUG
rnacentral:rRNA from 1 species